rnacentral:lncRNA from 1 species
UUAUUUUGGCUGGAUCGAGAUGUAAUUAGAAAAUGAAAUCACAGUAUUUCGUUGUUAAACCAAAAUCUUGAUUCUGGGACUGAAAAGAAUAACCUUUUAUAUAAAGGGAAUAUUUUAUUGAUCGUAUAUUCGACCUUUGCGAACGAUUAAGUAUUAUGCAUAAUAUAGGGUACAAGGAGUUGGUCGGCUCUGAGUACUUGCAGAGGGGUAUGAUUUAAAUCUUUAUGGUUAUCUGAUACACUUGGGUAUAUCAAAGUCAAAUCUUUGAUAGUUACUCGAGAAGAGAAGUUCAAGAUCCAAUGGAUCGCUCAGCAUAAAUCUUGAAAACAUUUGUCGAUCGAUUUCGCAAUCAAUGAAUACGUGCAAGUAUACACGGUCAACAAGUAAUAAAGUGAAAGUAGAGUAUCGUUCCCACGAGUUAUUAUUUAAUAAAAAU